AUGUAUUCCAUACUUUUAGUAUUUGUCUAGUAGGUUUCCUCAAAGAGGAAGCCCCC
rnacentral:snRNA from 1 species